UGGCGGUAGCUUACCAUGCUAGUCGAGCGGGCGCUUUCGGGCGUCAGCGGCGGACGGGUUAGUAACGCGUGGGAACGUGCCUUUUGCUCUGGAAUAGCCCUGGGAAACUGGGGGUAAUACCGGAUGUGCCCUGAGGGGGAAAGAUUUAUCGGCAAGAGAUCGGCCCGCGUCUGAUUAGGUAGUUGGUGUGGUAAUGGCGCACCAAGCCGACGAUCGGUAGCUGGUUUGAGAGGAUGAUCAGCAACACUGGGACUGAGACACGGCCCAGACUCCUACGGGAGGCAGCAGUGGGGAAUCUUAGACAAUGGGCGCAAGCCUGAUCUAGCCAUGCCGCGUGGGUGAUGAAGGCCUUAGGGUCGUAAAGCCCUUUCGCCGGGGAAGAUAAUGACGGUACCCGGUAAAGAAACCCCGGCUAACUCCGUGCCAGCAGCCGCGGUAAU
rnacentral:rRNA from 1 species